rnacentral:lncRNA from 1 species
UGGUGGGGUUCGUGUUGUUUGUUCUUUAGUUUUCUAUGUUUUGUCAUGUGUACUAUUGUUUGCCUGUUUGUCUUUUACAUUUUUAGCCAUUGCGUUGUCAGUUUAUUUCAGAUUUAUGAGUUUGACUGUCCCUUUGUUAUCUUUUACCCCUCUUUUGUUGAUGUGGUUCAUAACUGAUUCUCGUUUCUCUUUUUUAUAUAUAAAUUAGACCAUGGGUUUUCCCGUUUGAAUGGUUUUACACUAGUAAAUGUUAAGGCCCUCUGUAACUUGUUGUUCGGUCGGAGCCAAGGAUCCGUGUUGAAGACAGUACUAUGACCUAUAUAUAUAUAUUUUUAUUAAUUGUGACUUGGAAGAAGAGUUGUCUCAUUUUCACUUAUAUCAC